GGCUCAGGACGAACGCUGGCGGCGUGCCUAAUACAUGCAAGUCGAGCGAAUCGAUGGGAGCUUGCUCCCUGAGAUUAGCGGCGGACGGGUGAGUAACACGUGGGCAACCUGCCUAUAAGACUGGGAUAACUUCGGGAAACCGGAGCUAAUACCGGAUACGUUCUUUUCUCGCAUGAGAGAAGAUGGAAAGACGGUUUACGCUGUCACUUAUAGAUGGGCCCGCGGCGCAUUAGCUAGUUGGUGAGGUAAUGGCUCACCAAGGCGACGAUGCGUAGCCGACCUGAGAGGGUGAUCGGCCACACUGGGACUGAGACACGGCCCAGACUCCUACGGGAGGCAGCAGUAGGGAAUCUUCCGCAAUGGACGAAAGUCUGACGGAGCAACGCCGCGUGAACGAAGAAGGCCUUCGGGUCGUAAAGUUCUGUUGUUAGGGAAGAACAAGUACCAGAGUAACUGCUGG
rnacentral:rRNA from 1 species